UCCAAAUGCCCUGGAUAUUGUUUGUGCUUAAAAUGUGCCUCACUUAGCACACUUUGUGAGAAAUUUAGAAUUUGCAUGAACAUUAAAUAUGAUUUAUAGCAAUACUUGUUAUUUUAUGUGUUUAUUUGUAGGUGCUCUGUUGAUGGUUGUAUUUCUUACAAGUUUUCUCCAGUUGAAGAGGAGUCUUCAAGCUACCAUGACUAUCAAGAGAUGAGAAUGCAGGAACAUGUGCAAAAGCUUAGGAUUGGAUAUAUUCCAAGGUCUGUCUGGGUUGUGUUAGAGAGGGAUCUUGUGGAUUCUUGUAAAGCUGGAGAUGAUGUUAUUGUUACUGGUAUUGUCAGACAGCAGUGGAAAUCUCUUAACUCUGGUAGUACGUGUUUGUUGGAAGUGGUUAUACAUGCAAAUCACAUC